AUGCAUAAGCACUCCAUGUUCUGGCUUGUCCACAGAGACUUGAAACCACAUAAUGUCCUCUUGGAUUGUAACAUGCUCCCAAAGAUUGCUGAUUUUGGAUCAGCUAGAGCUCUGAGUUCAGAUGUAGCAGAAGAGCGCACGAGUAGGGUCAUGGGAACGAGUGGUUACAAAGCUCCGGAGUAUGCAUCUCGAGGAGUUCACUCAAUGAAGACAGAUGUGUUCAGCUUUGGCGUUUUGGUUCUGGUGAUUAUUAGUGGCCGAAAGAAUACCAUACUCGACAAGCGAGGGGAUACUGUUGGUGAUCUUGUACGAGAUGCUUGGCGUAUGUGGAAGGACCAAAAGUUGCAUGAGCUUGUGGAUCCAUUGUUAGGGGAUGGAUAUGAAGUCUCUGAGAUAACGAAAUGUGCUCAGGUGGCACUACUUUGUGCUCAGGAAGAUCCAACAGAUCGGCCCACCAUGACAGAUGUUGCUGCAAUGCUGAACUCUGAAAGUAUAAGCUUACCAAUGGAGCCUAAGCAGCCCGCUGCGCUGAUCCAUGGGUGUGCCGAGAGAGACACGACAUCAACAUAUGUGAGCCAAUCAAGCAGAACAACAGACAUAACGAUAACGAGUUCAGCUCCAAUGUCGACCAGAGUUCGAAUCAUUCUAGACCCGGAGGUUUGA
rnacentral:rRNA from 1 species